rnacentral:rRNA from 1 species
GCGUUGUCCGGAUUUAUUGGGCGUAAAGCGCGCGCAGGCGGCUCGGAAAGUCGGGUGUGAAAAUCCAGGGCUCAACCCCGGACCUGCAUCCGAUACUCCCGGGCUAGAGGCAGGUAGGGGAGAGUGGAAUUCCUGGUGUAGCGGUGAAAUGCGCAGAUAUCAGGAGGAACACCGGUGGCGAAGGCGGCUCUCUGGACCUGUCCUGACGCUCAGGCGCGAAAGCUAG